AUUGAACGCUGGCGGCAUGCCUUACACAUGCAAGUCGAACGGCAGCACGGGAGCAAUCCUGGUGGCGAGUGGCGAACGGGUGAGUAAUAUAUCGGAACGUGCCCAGUAGUGGGGGAUAACUGCUCGAAAGAGCAGCUAAUACCGCAUACGACCUGAGGAUGAAAGGGGGGGAUCGCAAGACCUCUCGCUAUUGGAGCGGCCGAUAUCAGAUUAGCUAGUUGGUGGGGUAAAGGCCUACCAAGGCAACGAUCUGUAGUUGGUCUGAGAGGACGACCAGCCACACUGGGACGGAGAAACGGCCCAGACUCCUACGGGAGGCAGCAGUGGGGAAUUUUGGACAAUGGGCGCAAGCCUGAUCCAGCAAUGCCGCGUGCAGGAAGAAGGCCUUCGGGUUGUAAACUGCUUUUGUCAGGGAAGAAAUCCUCUAGGUUAAUACCCUUGGGGGGAUGACGGUACCUGAAGAAUAAGCACCGGCUAACUACGUGCCAGCAGCCGCCGUAAUAC
rnacentral:rRNA from 1 species